rnacentral:tRNA from 1 species
GGGGUUGUGGCUCAGUGGUAGAGCACUCAUCUAGAAUGUGAGAGGCACUGAGUUCAAUCCUCAGCACCA